GAUGAAUGCUGGCGGCGUGCCUAACACAUGCAAGUCGAGCGGUAACAGGAGUAGUUUACUACUUGCUGACGAGCGGCGGACGGCUGAGUAACGCGUGGGAACGUGCCCCAAAGUGAGGAAUAACUGCCCGAAAGGGUAGCUAAUACCGCAUAUGAUCUUCGGAUUAAAGGAUUUAUCCGCUUUGGGAGCGGCCCGCGUCGGAUUAGGUAGUUGGUGAGGUAAUGGCUCAUCAAGCCCACGAUCCGUAGCUGGUCUGAGAGGAUGAUCAGCCAGACUGGAACUGAGACACGGUCCAGACUCCUACGGGAGGCAGCAGUGAGGAAUCUUCCACAAUGGGCGAAAGCCUGAUGGAGCAACGCCGCGUGCAGGAUGAAGGCCUUCGGGUCGUAAACUGCUUUUAUAAGUGAAGAAUAUGACGGUAGCUUAUGAAUAAGCACCGGCUAACUACGUGCCAGCCGCCGCAGUAA
rnacentral:rRNA from 1 species